rnacentral:rRNA from 1 species
CCCCUUAUUCCUACGGGAGGCAGCAGUGGGGAAUAUUGCACAAUGGGCGAAAGCCUGAUGCAGCGACGCCGCGUGAGGGAUGACGGCCUUCGGGUUGUAAACCUCUUUCAGUAGGGAAGAAGCCCUCUUUGGGGGUGACGGUACUUGCAGAAGAAGCGCCGGCUAACUACGUGCCAGCAGCCGCGGUAAUACGUAGGGCGCAAGCGUUAUCCGGAAUUAUUGGGCGUAAAGAGCUCGUAGGCGGUUUGUCGCGUCUGCUGUGAAAGACCGGGGCUCAACUCCGGUUCUGCAGUGGGUACGGGCAGACUAGAGUGCAGUAGGGGAGACUGGAAUUCCUGGUGUAGCGGUGAAAUGCGCAGAUAUCAGGAGGAACACCGAUGGCGAAGGCAGGUCUCUGGGCUGUAACUGACGCUGAGGAGCGAAAGCAUGGGGAGCGAACAGGAUUAGAUACCCUGGUAGUCCAUGCCGUAAACGUUGGGCACUAGGUGUGGGGGACAUUCCACGUUUUCCGCGCCGUAGCUAACGCAUUAAGUGCCCCGCCUGGGGAGUACGGCCGCAAGGCUAAAACUCAAAGGAAUUGACGGGGGCCCGCACAAGCGGCGGAGCAUGCGGAUUAAUUCGAUGCAACGCGAAGAACCUUACCAAGGCUUGACAUGGACCGGAAAGACCUGAAACCACGUGCCCCC